rnacentral:rRNA from 1 species
AGGAUGAUCAGCCACACUGGAACUGAGACACGGUCCAGACUCCUACGGGAGGCAGCAGUGGGGAAUCUUGCGCAAUGGGGGAAACCCUGACGCAGCGACGCCGCGUGAGUGAUGAAGGCCUUCGGGUUGUAAAGCUCUGUGGGGAGAGACGAAUAAGUGUAGUCGAAUAGACUGCAUGAUGACGGUAUCUCCUUAGCAAGCACCGGCUAACUCUGUGCCAGCAGCCGCGGUAAGACAGAGGGUGCAAAACGUUGUUCGGAAUGACUGGGCGUAAAGCGUAUGUAGGCGGCUUUGCAGGUCGGAUGUGAAAUCCCUUGGCUCAACCAAGGAAGUGCAUUCGAAACCGCAGAGCUUGAGUGCCUGAGAGGAAGGUGGAAUUCUCGGUGUAGAGGUGAAAUUCGUAGAUAUCGAGAGGAACACCCGUGGCGAAAGCGGCCUUCUGGAAGAGCACUGACGCUGAGAUACGAAAGCAUGGGGAG